rnacentral:rRNA from 1 species
GAUGAACGCUAGCUACAGGCUUAACACAUGCAAGUCGAGGGGUAGCACGGAGGAAGCUUGCUUCCUUGGGUGACGACCGGCGCACGGGUGAGUAACGCGUAUCCGACCUACCCAUAACUCGGGCACAGCCGCUCGAAAGAGUGAUUGAUUCCCGAUAUGUCAUUGGAGUAGAUUCAAUGAUGAAAGAUUCAUCGGUUAUGGAUGGGGAUGCGUAAGAUUAGGUAGUAGGCGGGGUAACGGCCCACCUAGCCGACGAUCUUUAGGGGUUCUGAGAGGAAGGUCCCCCACACUGGUACUGAGACACGGACCAGACUCCUACGGGAGGCAGCAGUGAGGAAUAUUGGUCAAUGGUCGGAAGACGGCCCUAUGGGUUGUAAACUGCUUUUAUGCGGGGAUAAAUGAUCCUACGUGUAGGUUUUUGCAGGUACCGCAUGAAUAAGGACCGGCUAAUUCCGUG